UGAACGCUAGCUACAGGCUUAACACAUGCAAGUCGAGGGGCAGCAUGGUCUUAGCUUGCUAAGGCCGAUGGCGACCGGCGCACGGGUGAGUAACACGUAUCCAACCUGCCGUCUACUCUUGGACAGCCUUCUGAAAGGAAGAUUAAUACAGGAUGGCAUCAUGAGUCCGCAUGUUCACAUGAUUAAAGGUAUUCCGGUAGACGAUGGGGAUGCGUUCCAUUAGACAGUAGGCGGGGUAACGGCCCACCUAGUCUUCGAUGGAUAGGGGUUCUGAGAGGAAGGUCCCCCACAUUGGAACUGAGACACGGUCCAAACUCCUACGGGAGGCAGCAGUGAGGAAUAUUGGUCAAUGGGCGAGAGCCUGAACCAGCCAAGUAGCGUGAAGGAUGACUGCCCUAUGGGUUGUAAACUUCUUUUAUAAAGGAAUAAAGUCGGGUAUGGAUACCCGUUUGCAUGUACUUUAUGAAUAAGGAUCGGCUAACUCCGUG
rnacentral:rRNA from 1 species